UACGGGGGGGGCAAGCGUUGUUCGGAAUUACUGGGCGUAAAGGGCUCGUAGGCGGCCAACUAAGUCCGACGUGAAAUCCCAAGGCUUAACCUUGGAACUGCGUCGGAUACUGGAUGGCUUGAAUUCGGGAGAGGGAUGCAGAAUUCCAGGUGUAGCGGUGAAAUGCGUAGAUAUCUGGAGGAAUACCGGUGGCGAAGGCGGCAUCCUGGACCAUUACUGACGCUGAGGCGCGAAAGCUAGGGGAGCAAACGGG
rnacentral:rRNA from 1 species